rnacentral:rRNA from 1 species
GACGAACGCUGGCGGCGUGCCUAACACAUGCAAGUCGAACGGUCAAGCGCCUUCCUUUUUGGUGGGUGUGUAUCAGUGGCGAACGGGUUAGUAACACGUUAGUAACCUGCUCCCUCCUUCUGGAUAACCGCAUGCAAGUGUUGCUAAUACGGGAUAUUCUGGGCCUGUCGCAUCAUGGGUCUGGGAAAGAUUUUGUUUCGGUGGUGGAUGGGGCCGCGGCCUAUCAGCUUGUUGGUGUGGUGACGGCCUACCAAGGCGAUGAAGAGUAGCCGGCCUGAGAGGAUCGGCCGCCAUGGAAGGGAGGAGACGCGGCGCAUACUACGGCGGGCGGCAGCAGGGAAUAUUAUUGCAUGGUGGGAAGACUGAUGGUGCAGCGCCGCGGGGGUGAGGAUGGUGUCCGGCGGGUAAAGAACCUCUUUCGGGAGAGAAGCAGGGCGGCCUCAUUUGUGGGUGUGUUGACGGUAGCUAGAUAAAAAGCGCCGGCUAACUACGUG